GAUUCUGAACCGGUCGCCUCCACAUCAAUGGGAGCAAGGAAGAAGGUGAAGCUUUCCUCCUAUUUAAACUUCGCUUCUCAUCAAGUUAUGAAUUCACAAUUGGACUAGAGUACACCGUUAACCGAGUCUUCUCCGCCGGUGUCGAAUCCCAAUAAAGAUGUAAUGGAGAUGUUGCAUCAUAUUUUUAAUAAACAGUGUGACCUAGAGGCCCGGAUGGACAAGAUAGAAGAGAAU